CAGCAGCCACGGGAAUACGAAGGGGGCUAGCGUUGUUCGGAUUUACUGGGCGUAAAGGGCGCGUAGGCGGCCAUUCAAGUUAGAUGUGAAAGCCCUGGGCUCAACCUAGGAAUUGCAUUUGAUACUGUUUGGCUUGAGUUCGGGAGAUGUGAGUGGAAUUCCCAGUGUAGAGGUGAAAUUCGUAGAUAUUGGGAAGAACACCAGUGGCGAAGGCGGCUCACUGGACCGACACUGACGCUGAGGCGCGAAAGCGUGGGGAGCAAACAGGAUUAGAUACCCCGGUAGUCCCUGUCUCUUAUAC
rnacentral:rRNA from 1 species